rnacentral:lncRNA from 1 species
UCCCAGCCAAAACCGUUCCCUCCAUCUUCACGGCUUCCUCUGUUCUGGAAUCACUGCCAGCCAAUCCCGUUCACGAACAGAUCUCAGCUCAUCAUCCUGCAUCCAGCUCUCACCCACGGAUCCAAGAUCUCCUUCCCAGAUUUCUUUCAAGCAACCAGUCCUUCUCCGCGAUUCGAUGUCAUCCUUCCGAGCUUCAUGGCAACCAAAUGCAUUAUCCUCUGUUUCGGAAACAGAACAAAGUCAUUCCUUUUCCCGUAUCUUCCCAAGCUUCUUCUCAUUCCGGAUUGAUCCUAUCAUCCACAGGAUAAGGUUUAGAUGUUCAUUCCGAAGCUAGAUCCCAUGAUCUUUGGAUCAAAUCAUCUCCCCUGCUUCCAAAUCUCCUAGAUUUCUUCUCAGCCACUUCCAGCCAACGGCGAUUAUCCCCAAACUUCCGGAUUGAAUCCCACAUCCCCUCCUCAUCUGCAGAUGAGCUCACAACCUUCAACUAUUUCGGAACAGAGAUUCAACCAGCAAUCUCAACCGUGAGGAUCUCCCGUAUCCAUGACAACAGCAGUCCGUUCUUCUUCUCGCUCGCGGAUCAACUCCAACCUCCAAAAAUUCCAGCUUAUCAUCCCAACUCCCGGAUCAGCUCUAUCUUCAUCCCGCAUCCUUUGUCUUCAUCUGUAUCUACAUUCGAAACAGAGGAGGAUGGAGGGGGAGCUUGCGGCCUAUAAAAGGAGAAGGCUUUCCUUCUUCGGAAAUCAAUUCCCUCUUCCCCCACCGGGAGGGGAGGCUUCUCCCAUCUAGCUCGGGUUCACAGGCCAAGUUCCCACAUUAAUCCAAGGAUCUGAGGAGUUCCUGCAGAGGCCAGAGAAGAGAGAACCAAACAUAAGCAAGAGGAAGGAAGUCCUAAUGGGAGGCCGCUGCUAUGCUGCUGCUCCCGACCACUACUCCAUGGAAGGCUGAUCUCCUCACUAGGGCUGGAUGCAGCCCUAACAAAGGACUAAGGGUUUUAUAUUUUAUUUUAUAUUCUUGGGGUUGUAUGAACUUAUUGUUUUCAAUGGAUAUCUUCUUUUGAAUCAUAUUUAAUUUCUAUGAUUUUAAGUAUGAUGUUCGUUCAACUGUUCUUCAUGAUCACUAAGUAAAUAUAAGAUAGUCCAUACUUAGGAAAGAUGCGAUGUACUGCCAUCUUAGAUUAGGGUAGACAUUUCAUGCCAACUGAAGAUGGAUUAUGCCCAAAUUACUUUUGUGAAUUUUUAUUUAAAUGCUUAUUAGGCUUGUAGCCAAUUUGCAUGUUAAUCCAAGAACGAAAUAAAAUAUAAAUAACCCUUGUUCCGAUGUUAGUGGUGAAUUCCUUGCCCUAGGAUCUCCCAAACUGAUAUCAUUAUCAAUUGCAUUUUUAUUAAAUUUGUUAGUUUAAC